CAUAACUUAUGAAAUCACCUAUUAAAGUCAGCCAUUAAAUGCUAUGGGCCUGAAAAAUGCGUAAUUUUCUUUCAGGUAUAACUUUUUUUAUUAUAUAUGUAACCGGCAGAGUAGUCGCUGUCUGGGUGAAGUUUGUCCCUCUGCAGCUACGGUAGCCCUCCGAUGUCAUGGUGCCCAGCUGGCUGCUGAGUGAUUAACAAUUCAAUUAGCAGUCAGGCUGGGUGCUAUAUAACUGACCUCACUGUUGGGCUAAGAGAGAUUUCCUGGUCUACAGUUUAACGGUUUUGUUGCUGUUUGGAUGUGUUGUGCCUUUGUGUAACCAAAGUAUUUGUAGAGGACUAUACAAUGUAGCAGUAUUGUUUGUUUAAUACUGGGUCAUUGGAAAAUAGGUGUUGGACUGAUUGCCAGACGCUUCCGGGUAGUCGUGCAGUGUACUACUAAAGGUCUUGGGCAGAGCACCUGCCGGGUCGCUGUAUCACAAUUAAGCCACAGUAUCUAAAAGGAUAUUGAAGACUGGUGCAAGGGCUCGUUUUCCUCUGGUCAUCUUGUCACAUGGAGGUAGAUUGCUCCUGCUGCUUUGCCUUGCUUAAAUUAAGUGUAUUGAUAGCUGUGCCUCUUAUAUUUUUCUCUUUCUUCGUUAUUUUGCUGUGGCCUUUUGUCUAGUGCCCCUGUUGGACCGUUGUGGUAUUGGCUGUUCCAAUCUUAUACAUAGUCUUAAGAUUCUGUUUGGAUGUAUAUCUUAUCUAUCUUGCUAGUGAUUAUGACCUCUUUGCCUUCCAUCUUUUUCUAGAGUAUUUAAGCAGCUGCUUAUAGGAGAGGUUCCUGGAUUUUCAUGCACUGCACUGUGUAUUGUAGUGGUAAAGUGCACCUCACAAUAUUGAUUGAAUCCCUUGCUUGCAGUGGUUGUGCGUGUGCGCGUUGUGAAUGCGUUUUACUGUAGGCACCAGAGUUUAGAGCACGGUUGGUGAACUUCACAUUUAUCCCGGACAAGUAACCUUUUCUGACAGCGAAUUAAUAUGACCCCUGUUACACUGCUAAUUAUAGUGUCCCCUGUAGCAGCCAAUACCAGUCCUGGCCAUCCUCCGUAAACAGUCUUUUGGUUGCAACUACUGUGCCUCUACCAUGACUGUGGCUCUUUUAAUUGUACCACUUACUAAUAAAGUGUCUCUAACUACUGAAAGCAUGUUGGUUUAGUUAAUCUCUGGUGUAUUUCUAUGAACCUGCUUGCCUUAGGUUAGGUAUUCAGCAGUUAUUACGCAAAGUAUAUCUUGGUGUGAGAAGCACCAGGUGGCGUAGUAAAGAACGUUAAGCCUAGAUUUGGUAAAAGUUCUCUUAAGGUCACCUAGAUUUUUUUUUUUUUUCAUUUAACACUUGUAAGAAUGAAAAUACCUGCAUGUUCAUUAAGUAAAUAAGUGAUCAUGAGUGUAGCAGACUAAUUUAUACUUAUGUAAAUAUAUUUUAAAGUAUCAUUCAUUUCAUGAAUAAAGGACUCUUGUCAAGGUUAGUCCAUUUGACCGAAUUAAUAUGUGACUAUUUAUAAAAUAUGAGAUUUUGCAUAUUUGCGUCAAAGUAUAGUAUGCAAAUAGGUUUAAACGUAUAUAUCUAUUUUUACCUUCACUGCAGUACUCCGUGUAGGCUACUUAUACUAAAAUUGCUUGCAUAAAGGAAAGUCCACCCAAAAUCGGAAAUUGUGCCACAACACUGAUGUACAAAAAUUAUAGCGAUGUAAGAAUGAAAUGAGUAAACAAAAAUAAGAAUAAAAUAUAAAGGUAUAUUGCAGAAUUAAAUAUAGAAUGCAAAAUAAUGCGGAACACGGUUAUUUUGCAAAAUGUUGGUAGGUAACCAAACAGUUAAAUGCAUAAUUUUCAUUCAGGUAUACCCUUUUUGUUAUAUAGAUGUAAUAUUUUCUUAUUUGCAUUUAUUGAUACACGCCCUGUUGGGUCAACUUAAUGGCUGCACUUUCGUCUGCACUAUGUCCCACCAUUUUAAGACAAAUGGAUUUGUGUUAUCAUAUUCAAUAGAUUAUAAGCUAGAUGCAGCCUUUUUGGGGUUUGCAACAAAUGUUCUUUGAAUUUUAUGCAUGAUAAAUUUGUUUAUGAAUAAAGAUUGAUCUGUUGAAAGCAGUUAUUUUGAGUUUGAUGCCAAAUGCUCUCCUCCUAUUCAAAUAUGACAUUGAAGGGAUGAAUACAAAUUUGCCCACUAGCAACUAUAAUUCAGACAGGAACCACUUUGGCAAGUUUACUUGAGUUUAUUGAACACAAUUUAUCUUUGGCGGCAUGGUUCCUUAUGGGGGUUCUUGCUCCCAGAAUAAUUGAACAUACAAGAGCUUUAACAUUAACCCCCGGAACCAUGAAUUUAGAAAUACAUAAAGACUUUUUAUAACGUCUUUAAAGCAAACGGUGAUAAUCGUGUAGAUGUGGCAGUGGUACGUCUAUCCUGUAGCCUGAUUAUAAAGAUGGGUGUCUCUCCGCGAUGAGGUCCAUGCCAGCUAAGAUUUUUGGAAGCCUUAGUGAU